rnacentral:rRNA from 1 species
UGCAGUCGAGGGGCAGCAUGAUUUGUAGCAAUACAGAUUGAUGGCGACCGGCGCACGGGUGAGUAACGCGUAUGCAACUUACCUAUCAGAGGGGGAUAGCCCGGCGAAAGUCGGAUUAAUACCCCAUAAAACAGGGGUCCCGCAUGGGAAUAUUUGUUAAAGAUUCAUCGCUGAUAGAUAGGCAUGCGUUCCAUUAGGCAGUUGGCGGGGUAACGGCCCACCAAACCGACGAUGGAUAGGGGUUCUGAGAGGAAGGUCCCCCACAUUGGUACUGAGACACGGACCAAACUCCUACGGGAGGCAGCAGUGAGGAAUAUUGGUCAAUGGCCGAGAGGCUGAACCAGCCAAGUCGCGUGAAGGAAGAAGGAUCUAUGGUUUGUAAACUUCUUUUAUAGGGGAAUAAAGUGGAGGACGUGUCCUUUUUUGUAUGUACCCUAUGAAUAAGCAUCGGCUAACUCCGUGCCAGCAGCCGCGGUAAUACGGAGGAUGCGAGCGUUAUCCGGAUUUAUUGGGUUUAAAGGGUGCGUAGGUGGUGAUUUAAGUCAGCGGUGAAAGUUUGUGGCUCAACCAUAAAAUUGCCGUUGAAACUGGGUUACUUGAGUGUGUUUGAGGUAGGCGGAAUGCGUGGUGUAGCGGUGAAAUGCAUAGAUAUCACGCAGAACUCCGAUUGCGAAGGCAGCUUACUAAACCAUAACUGACACUGAAGCACGA